rnacentral:rRNA from 1 species
CAUGCAAGUCGAACGCGAAAGUGGAGCAAUUUAAGGUUUCUAGCAAACGGGUGAGUAACGCGUGGGUGACCUUAAAAGGUUAGGGGAUAACGUUCCGAAAGGGACGCUAAUACCGCAUGACAUCCUGCCUUUGAAGAGGCGGAUCUCAAAAAACAAAGAGUCGCAAGACCUAGCACUCGAUGAGGGGCCCGCGUCUGAUUAGCUAGUUGGUGGGGUAACGGCUCACCAAGGCAACGAUCAGUAUCCGGCCUGAGAGGGCGGACGGACACACUGGGACUGAGACACGGCCCAGACUCCUACGGGAGGCAGCAGUGGGGAAUUGUUCGCAAUGGGCGCAAGCCUGACGAC